UGUGGAUCCAUAGGGUAGUGGUCAUCACAUCUGCUUUACAUGCUGAAGGUUCUGGCUUCAACUCCCAGUGGGACCAUGCAGCCAUUCAGUUAAAACUUCUGAGGAGAAGUGGGUUCCACACACCAGCCAUCAACCAGAAAAGAGGUUCAAGCAGUCUCCAAACUCAGCACCUGUUUCAACUCUACCAGUAUGAAAGCAGUGUAAGCUUUGCAGAUUUGCCCACAGAAGCACAGAGGUCUUCUUGAAACACUACAGGUUUCGGCACUAUCGAGGGCGAUCCCGGCAGCUUGUAUACUGACUGCAUCUGCACUUUUAAAACUUUAGGCUUCUGAUUUGCUGCUUAAAGAAAAGCUACAGCUCUCAAAGCUCUACCUUUGUUUAUGAGCGAAAAGUGAAACUUCCUGAAGUCUUGCCUGGACACAGACCCAGAAGACACUCACACAGAAGGGAUAAGGAAGGGGGUCUUAACUGUCGUUGAAGAUGAUGUUGCCACCAUCCAUUCAACCCCAAAUGUAAGGUGCCUGUCUGUGGUUUUAGAGGAGCAAGUUGUGCUGGAUAAUGUGCAAGACGUCCCUACAGCUGUUGCUCUCCUAUUUGACUUGAUUUAUGCCAUCAAAAUCCUUCGCUCUCCUAAAGAACUAAAAUACACGUUUGAAACUAUUCAGAAAGUGUUUCUUGGCCUUGACCCCCAGUGCUCUGCAAGAGUCCAGUCCUUCAACAACAAACUGUUCAAGUUGAAGUAGCUGCAGUUCAUAUGGCUGAUCAAAAGUGCAAGUACGGAUUUGUUCCUGUUUGUUUAGUAGCUGUAUCACAGUACAACAUAGGCCAAAGUCAGUUUUGAGUUUUAGUGUAAGGUUUUAUGACUGUUAAGUUUUGUUUAUAACAGCUGUAAUACUUGAUUGCUCUUGCGAUGUGUUGAAACUCUGCUUGUUUAUUGCUGCAGCAUUAAGAUUGUUGUUCUGGCACUUUGAGAACAUUUUUUUACUCCAGCACUUUAAAAGCAUUUUUUGUAUUUUUCCAACAGUUUAAAAGCAUUUGUGUUGUUUUACUCCAGCAUUUUAAAGGCAUUAAAAGAUUGCCUUUUUUGUCUUUGAUUUUAUUUCAAUUUUAUUAAUACAGUGGAACCCACUUAUCUCGCCCUCGGUUAACUCGACAACACUAUUAAGUCGACGUUUUUGAAGCAGAAUCGCCAAAUUCUCACUUUGUCUUAGCAUUUUUUAAUCAGUUAUGUCGAUUCUUUUAUGUUGACGAACCCUAAUAUCUCGAGCACAAGGAGGGGCAAA